GUGCCUAAUACAUGCAAGUCGAACGCUUCUUUUUCCACCGGAGCUUGCUCCACCGGAAAAAGAGGAGUGGCGAACGGGUGAGUAACACGUGGGUAACCUGCCCAUCAGAAGGGGAUAACACUUGGAAACAGGUGCUAAUACCGUAUAACAAUCGAAACCGCAUGGUUUUGAUUUGAAAGGCGCUUUCGGGUGUCGCUGAUGGAUGGACCCGCGGUGCAUUAGCUAGUUGGUGAGGUAACGGCUCACCAAGGCCACGAUGCAUAGCCGACCUGAGAGGGUGAUCGGCCACAUUGGGACUGAGACACGGCCCAAACUCCUACGGGAGGCAGCAGUAGGGAAUCUUCGGCAAUGGACGAAAGUCUGACCGAGCAACGCCGCGUGAGUGAAGAAGGUUUUCGGAUCGUAAAACUCUGUUGUUAGAGAAGAACAAGGAUGAGAGUAACUGUUCAUCCCUUGACGGUAUCUAACCAGAAAGCCACGGCUAACUACGUGCCAGCAGCCGCGGUAAUACGUAGGUGGCAAGCGUUGUCCGGAUUUAUUGGGCGUAAAGCGAGCGCAGGCGGUUUCUUAAGUCUGAUGUGAAAGCCCCCGGCUCAACCGGGGAGGGUCAUUGGAAACUGGGAGACUUGAGUGCAGAAGAGGAGAGUGGAAUUCCAUGUGUAGCGGUGAAAUGCGUAGAUAUAUGGAGGAACACCAGUGGCGAAGGCGGCUCUCUGGUCUGUAACUGACGCUGAGGCUCGAAAGCGUGGGGAGCAAACAGGAUUAGAUACCCUGGUAGUCCACGCCGUAAACGAUGAGUGCUAAGUGUUGGAGGGUUUCCGCCCUUCAGUGCUGCAGCUAACGCAUUAAGCACUCCGCCUGGGGAGUACGACCGCAAGGUUGAAACUCAAAGGAAUUGACGGGGGCCCGCACAAGCGGUGGAGCAUGUGGUUUAAUUCGAAGCAACGCGAAGAACCUUACCAGGUCUUGAUCCGCAUGGAAGGGCCAUCGCUCAACGGAUAAAAGCUACCCUGGGGAUAACAGGCUUAUCUCCCCAAGAGUGCUCGUGUCGUGAGAUGUUGGGUUAAGUCCCGCAACGAGCGCAACCCUUAUUGUUAGUUGCCAUCAUUCAGUUGGGCACUCUAGCAAGACUGCCGGUGACAAACCGGAGGAAGGUGGGGAUGACGUCAAAUCAUCAUGCCCCUUAUGACCUGGGCUACACACGUGCUACAAUGGGAAGUACAACGAGUUGCGAAGUCGCGAGGCUAAGCUAAUCUCUUAAAGCUUCUCUCAGUUCGGAUUGCAGGCUGCAACUCGCCUGCAUGAAGCCGGAAUCGCUAGUAAUCGCGGAUCAGCACGCCGCGGUGAAUACGUUCCCGGGCCUUGUACACACCGCCCGUCACACCACGAGAGUUUGUAACACCCGAAGUCGGUGAGGUAACCUUUUGGAGCCAGCCGCCUAAGGUGGGAUAGAUGAUUGGGGUGAAGUCGUAACAAGGUAGCCGUAUCGGAAGGUGCGGCUGGAUCACCUCCUUU
rnacentral:rRNA from 1 species